AUACGGAGGAUCCGAGCGUUAUCCGGAUUUAUUGGGUUUAAAGGGUGCGCAGGCGGGAGAUUAAGUCGGCGGUGAAAUUUUGCAGCUCAGCUGUAAAAGUGCCUUCGAAACUGGUUUCCUUGAGUGUAGAUGAAGUAGGCGGAAUUUGUGGUGUAGCGGUGAAAUGCAUAGAUGUCACGAGGAACUCCGAUUGCGCAGGCAGCUUACUAAACUACUACUGACGCUCAGGCACGAAGGCGUGGGGAUCAAACAGGAUUAGAUACCCUGGUAGUCCACGCAGUAAACGAUGAUUACUAGCUGUUUGCGAUACAAUGUAAGCGGCUGAGCGAAAGCGUUAAGUAAUCCACCUGGGGAGUACGUUCGCAAGAAUGAAACUCAAAGGAAUUGACGGGG
rnacentral:rRNA from 1 species